AUACGUAGGGGGCGAGCGUUGUCCGGAAUGAUUGGGCGUAAAGGGCGCGUAGGCGGCCCGGUAAGUCUGGAGUGAAAGUCCUGUUUUUAAGAUGGGAAUUGCUUUGGAUACUGUCGGGCUUGAGUGCAGGAGAGGUAAGUGGAAUUCCCAGUGUAGCGGUGAGAUGCGUAGAGAUUGGGAGGAACACCAGUGGCGAAGGCGACUUACUGGACUGUAACUGACGCUGAGGCGCGAAAGUGUGGGGAGCAAACAGGAUUAGAUACCCUGGUAGUCCACACUGUAAACGAUGAAUGCUAGGUGUAGGGGGUAUCGACCCCUUCUGUGCCGCAGUCAACACAAUAAGCAUUCCGCCUGGGGAGUACGGCCGCAAGGUUGAAACUCAAAUGAAUUGACGGGG
rnacentral:rRNA from 1 species